rnacentral:rRNA from 1 species
UACAGAGACUGCGAGCGUUAUUCGGAUUCACUGGGCGUAAAGGGUGCGCAGGCGGCCAAGUGUGUGAGGCGUGAAAGCCCGGGGCUUAACCCCGGAAUUGCACCUCAAACUACAUGGCUAGAGCAUUGGAGAGGGAAGCGGAAUUCACGGUGUAGCGGUGAAAUGCGCAGAUAUCAGGAGGAACACCGGUGGCGAAGGCGGGUCUCUGGGCCGUAACUGACGCUGAGGAGCGAAAGCGUGGGGAGCAAACAGG